rnacentral:rRNA from 1 species
AGCGGCGGACGGGUGAGUAACACGUAAAGAACCUGCCCAUAGGUCUGGGAUAACCACGAGAAAUCGGGGCUAAUACCGGAUGUGUCAUCGGACCGCAGGGUCCGCUGAUGAAAGGCGCUCCGGCGUCGCCCAUGGAUGGCUUUGCGGUGCAUUAGCUAGUUGGUGGGGUAACGGCCCACCAAGGCGACGAUGCAUAGCCGACCUGAGAGGGUGAUCGGCCACACUGGGACUGAGACACGGCCCAAACUCCUACGGGAGGCAGCAGUAGGGAAUCUUCCACAAUGGACGAAAGUCUGAUGGAGCAACGCCGCGUGAACGAUGAAGGCUUUCGGGUCGUAAAGUUCUGUUGUAAGGGAAGAACAAGUGCCGCAGGCAAUGGCGGCACCUUGACGGUACCUUGCGAGAAAGCCACGGCUAACUACGUGCCAGCAGCCGCGGUAAUACGUAGGUGGCAAGCGUUGUCCGGAAUUAUUGGGCGUAAAGCGCGCGCAGGCGGCCUCUUAAGUCUGAUGUGAAAGCCCCCGGCUCAACCGGGGAGGGCCAUUGGAAACUGGGAGGCUUGAGUAUAGGAGAGAAGAGUGGAAUUCCACGUGUAGCGGUGAAAUGCGUAGAGAUGUGGAGGAACACCAGUGGCGAAGGCGACUCUUUGGCCUAUAACUGACGCUGAGGCGCGAAAGCGUGGGGAGCAAACAGGAUUAGAUACCCUGGUAGUCCACGCCGUAAACGAUGAGUGCUAGGU